AGUCUGUGAUCAGAAAUAAAUAAAUGAAAACUGUUCUGAACAAAAGCAAAAAAAUAUGAAUCGCUUGUAAAUAGUUUCCAACUGUUGAUCAAGCUAAAAUAAAAAUACCCUGAUAUUUUACUUUGUUUCUCACUGAGUAUGAUCAUGAAUAUUUUUAUUGGUUUGUGAAAAUUUACAGAAGUACGUGGUGUUGACACAUCUUAAAAUUUCGUAGCGACAAAAACACUGUUACUCAUGUAUAAUAACAAUAACAUUGUUUGCAGUAGGCUUGUACGUUUGACAUCUGGUUCUCUAUUUUUCAGACUUGAGUUUUGUUAGAAAUUCAUGAAUAAUUUUCAGUAACUUUUGAACCAUAGUGGAUUUUUCUAUUGAAAAUAACUGAUUUGGACUCAGGACUAAUGUUUAGUAUGUGUUGCAUUGGAAAUGAUUGAAGUAAUGGAAAGCUGUUCCAUACUACUUUCCAAAAAUAAGGUUUUGCAAAUUAAACAUACAAUACUUGGCAACCGAAAACUGCAACGGGACGUGAAUAUACAGGGUGUCUCACGAACUAGGCGCACCCCCUAAAUUUAAAAAUUUAAAAAAACGCUUUGGGGGGUAUGUUGGGGGUAAAAAAUAGAAAAUUUCUAUCGGAGCAGAAUUUUGAAUUUUUCCCCAGGGGGGUUGGGGGUGCCCCCAAUUUUACAAAACUUCAUCUCAUCAAAAAAUAAUGUACUACAAAGUUGUUCAAAAUGACGAGAGACAUUUUUUAGGACCCCUGCCCUCCAAGUCCCCCCACCCUUUAAGGGGGUCGGGGGGUCAAAAACCCCCAAGAUGUGAUUUUUUUGACCUGAAACCCAAAA